GGCAAUUCUCUGCACUUGAGACAAAAGCUCUCCCGCUGAGCCACAUCCUCAGUGGAAGGCUCCGCACUCCGGAGGCUGGAUCACAGCAACGCCAACCAAGGCUGCCCUUUCCCAGUUGACUGUCCCACUUGGAACCUGGCCACCAGGCUUUGAGGCAGCCCGGACAGAGUCGUGGGGCAGCCACGUGCACACCCUCUGCUUGACAGCUGCAUGAGAUCCUACCAGCUGUGAGAGGGGACAAGCCUUCCAGGAAGUCUGCCUUGGGGUCACCCUCUUCUGAUUCCUCCGAGCUGGGCUUGGACAGCACAGAGCAGAAGGAGGCCAUCUGCCCCUUGCACUCCCAACUCCGGGCCCACAGGAGUCGUGAGGCAAACAGUGAAGAGGAGCACAUGCCCAGGGAACAGUGCCUGCACACAGGGAGAGCCCCAGAACCCCAGGAGCCUGUCCAGGAGUGGUGAGCAGCGUGGGAAUUGGCCAGAUGGAGGAAAGAGGACAUGUGCACACGGGGAGCUUGUUAGAAACAGCUCUUUCCACAGAUUCCGAGGUGGCAACGAAGCUUGUUCAUUCUCCUGGCGGUUUUCUACACCAUUUACAAACAGAUCUAACAUCAGAAGAACUCUGGGCUGGCCGUGGAAACUUCACCUAAGUUCACCUUGUUAGAGACAUGGAACCCAGUCUGUGGGGCUCGUGCGCCCUCUGGAGGACAGGUCUUCUCACUUCUCCAGGACUCCCUGGCGUGCAAGGCUGGCCAGCGAGCCCAGGAACGCAGCUGUCUCCUCCUCCCUAGCUGGACUACAAGCGUGUGCCACCAUGCCUGGCCCCUUUACCUAGAUCCCGGGAACUGAAUGUGGGUCUUUGUGCUUUUAAGCAAGCGCUUUACUGAAGGAGCCAUCCUCCCUAGCCCCUCUACCCACACCUUUUGCUUUUCACUUUGAGAUUGUCUCAUUCUGUAGCCCAGACUGCUCAUGAUCUUGUGGCAAUCCUCCUGCCUCAGUCUCUGUACAUGGGGAUUAUAGCCCAAGUCACCAUAUAUGGCUCUGGAUUACAGAGUGGAGUGUGUGUGUGUGUGUGUGUGUGUGUGUGUGUGUGUGUGUGUGUGUCUUUCCUGAGGCCUUUGGGUAGUGAGCUAACUGUGGCUAUCAGAUGUAUGAGAAUACAAUGGGUCCAGGACAGGAGCCCCCAGGAAUCAUAGACCAUGUCUGGAAUUGCAGGGACCAUAGCUCUAAGAAGCCUGAUAGUCAAGAAAGGAAAAGAAAUUUAGAAAGGUCUUCUGUUACAGGAUAUAUGAUCACACUGUGAACCCCGAGAUUGUGUUAUUUACUGGAAAAACCUGUUUCUAGUUAUGGUGUGGCUCAGCCCUAGCACACACCUUAAUCCAAGAGCUUUCUGCUUGAAUAUUGUAAACAGGAUUAAAUAAAGUCAGCCAAAAUCAAGAGGCAGAACAAGCAACCAGUUGACAAGAAAAAAAAAAAAACAUAGAGAGUAAGAGGGCGUCAGGAGGAUAGAGAGACACAGAAACAGAAGGGAGGGACAUUGAUUUUGAGGAGUUUUGAUUGAGAUGGCGUAGGAGAAAGCUCUCUUUCUGGGAUGUCAGCGGAAGAGGAUGGUCAGCCGGUGCUUUCUUGGCCUCUCUGAGCUAUCAGGUUUUCACCCCAACAUCUGGCUCCCGAGUCUUUAUUAGCAAAACUGAACGAUUGAGAUUUUGUUAAAAACAACAGUCUUUUCUCUGCCUGCCGUAUGAGUCACUUU